CUACAGGAGCCACCAUUAUUCAAACGUACUUCCUCGACGUCGGGCGGUCAACAGUAGGCUCAUCUGUUUUUCACUGUCAUCAGCAACUGCUGACAGAGAGAAGUCCCGCCUCAGUGGCAACAUUAUCAACAUCACCAUGAAGCCUAUGUAUCUGCUGGUGCUGCUCUGCGUCUACCUGGUGAAGGUGGAGAGCGCCGUGACCGACCAACCCCCACUAGACGAGACUGCAGGAACAGACGAAGGCAGUGGAAACUACGAACAACUUGAUGAAUUUGCCUUGAAUGACACCCUGGCUGACAGAGCUGUAUGCAGAUUUCAUGAUGCCUGCCAAGAUGCAGGAGGAGUCUGCACGAGUAGUUGCAGAGAUUCCGGUGAGAUCAGUAGGAGGAACUGCGGUCCUGGGUGCAGGUGCUGCGCUGCGAGUAGUAGUAAGUGCACAAGUAAACCGAUAUGCAGACGCUUCGGUGGAGCGUGUCAGAAAGCUGCCUGCAAGGCCAACCAGCUGCAGCUCCCAUCUGGAUGCCUGACUAGCAGCUGUAGAUGUUGUGUCUCUGGAACUGUUCAUCAUUCCGAUGAAAUCAAUGGAUUCUUUCCUAUCAGAGUAAAUGAAGAGAAUGAUGGAACUCCGCAAGAAGAACUGAUAGAAGACGCAGCAGAAAAUGAAGAGGAGCAGUAAAACCCUCUGUACCUAAACCUACACACACACACACACACAUACACACACACACACACACACACACAUACACACACAACACACACACACACACACACACACACACACACACACACACACACACACACACACACACACACACACACACACACACACAAGGCUCUGCAACGAUUCGAAGUAAAACUAUUUCUUUUGUUUUUAGAGCUUGCAAAUAAACGAGUACAAAGGUUCUUUAUGUUACUGGACAGGAUACCAUUAACACGCAUCCUAACUGUACCAUUGCUAUGAUGCACCUACCGUUAAAUAAUAAUUUCAUUACCACUAUCAUAACGCAGGAGCCAUGACAAUUACUAUAACUACCAUGAUCUACCUGUCAUUGAUGAUGGUUAUACACUCGUGUGUAACUUGUUAUUUCAUGACAUAAUAACAUUGUUGGUAUACCCCACAUAACACUCUUGUUAUAUUCCACAUAACACUCUUGUUAUAUUCCACAUAACACUCUUGUUAUAUUCCACAUAACACUCUUGUUAUAUUCCACAUAACACUCUUGUUAUAUUCCACAUAACACUCUUGAUAUACCUGAUAUAAUAACAUUUGGUAUACUCGACAUAAUAACACUCUUAAUGUACUUCACACAUUACAUACUGAGGCUUUACGGAGUGAAUUCCGCUUAAUGUUACAGAAUAUAGUUUUAAAAUGGAGCUAAUUGUUCAAAAUUAAUUUAUAAUUAUUAAAUUGCUCUAAAAGUAUAUUUUUUUCUUAAUACGGUAUACCACUGACCAAUAUACACUGAUAUUUCUCGUUUUCCAACCCAUCCUGGCAAACACUGUGUACAUUUCUAACAUAUGGCUUGCGGCUAAUCUCUCAGAUUUCAUUAUUUAGGCCAGCUUAGGCUUGGAGAGGGUAAAUUAGGAAUAAAUAAAACAAAAAAGUUCUAGAGCGAGAACAGAAACCCUGUACCUACUGAGCAAGACUGACACACCACACGAAUUUUCAUUAUUUUGUAACAGUAGAAUGCUGACUGUUAUGUAGAGGACAGGCUAAAUUUACGUAAGUAUUAUUUUUUUCAUAAUGACCUAGAUUACAUGCAUUUGUAACUUUUUCUACAAUAUAUUAUUGAAUAUGCUGGUGUGUGCCUCACCUUUUGGGAGCUUGUUAAAAUGUUUAUGGUUUCGGAGAGUUUAUCUGUUUAAUGCAAUACAAAAAUACAAAGAAAAA